GAUGAAGAACGUAGCGAAAUGCGAUAAGUAAUGUGAAUUGCAGAAUUCAGUGAAUCAUCGAAUCUUUGAACGCACAUUGCGCCCUUUGGUAUUCCGAAGGGCAUGCCUGUUCGAGCGUCAUUUCACCACUCAAGCCUGGCUUGGUAUUGGGCGCCGCGGUCGAUCCGCGCGCCUCAAAGUCUCCGGCUGAGCUGUCCGUCUCUAAGCGUUGUGAUUUCAUUAAUCGCUUCGGAGUGCGGGCGGCCGCGGCCGUUAAAUCUUUCACAAGGUUGACCUCGGAUCAGGUAGGGAUACCCGCUGAACUUAAGCAUAUCAAUAAGCUGAGGA
rnacentral:misc_RNA from 1 species